UCCUUCCAUUUGGUCCAUAGCCUCACACGCUCUAUUUAUGUUUACCUUGGAAAAAAUUCAAACUGACUUCUUCAUCUUCCUCAAAAAUUUCUUUUCACCAAACCAUGCUCUUUGCUUCUCUACCAUAACCUUAAAUCAGUGUUAUUUCAUAGUUUUUUUAAAUAUGAAUUAUUAUGAAUAUCUUGUGUGGUUCCAUUCAACAUGUUUUGGAUUUGAAGUUUUACAAAUGGAUAUUCGCGAAUCGGAGGUUGAUGUUGGACGAUGACCAAGAAGCUGGACAAUUGCAAGGAGGCACUGGUGGCCAGCCGCGAAUUCGUCGGUGUUUGUCGGCUAAAAUAUCAGAUCUGGGUGGCGUCGGAGAUUGGUUGAAAUCAUUCAAGAAUUCUUUCUUCUUUAACCACAAUUUAAUCACCUCUGAUUUUGUUUUUCAGGUUAACAAUCAAUUCACGGUUUAAUCAUCUGUUAUUUUCUCAGAUCUACACACCGAAUAUGGCAUCAAAUCCCUCAAUGAUUUCCUCUCCGGAAAAAACUUAUAUCUCUGGGGAUCAAUUGACAAAGGAAGAUAUUAAGGUUUAUGCUACUGUUACUGAGAAGUCAAGUGGGUAUUUUCCCAAUAUUUUUAAUUGGUAUGAUGUUGUUCCUUCAAGCCUUGCUGUUAGUUUCCCUGGGAAAGCUCAAGGUGUGAAGUUUACAGAAUAUGUCGGGUAUUCAAAGUAGACACAAGGAAGGAAGCAUGAAGACUUGGAUCCAUCUAUGUUUGAGUCACUCAUGUGAUUUACUGCACAGGAAUAACAACUUUACUUUCAAGACGAAGGGAUGAUGAGAAUACACCUAAGAGGGUUGGGAAUUGCAGGGAAUAGCCGGGAAUUGCAGGGAAUAGCCGACGACACUAUUGGAUGCUAAUAUUGGUAAUCGAGUGAUAUUAAGCUUUUGGGUUCUGUUUCUUUUCAUGGAGAAGAAGAUGAAAUCAGAGGGAGAUGUGUUUCUUUAUAAUAAAAUUGCUUUGUUUCUUUACAGUUUUGUCUUCUGUUCAAUUCUAUCAUGUUUUUACA